GCCCCAAUAGCUCAGUGGUAGAGCGCUCCGCUAGUAGUUCCAAUAGAACUGGAAACGUUAGGCUACGGUAAUGCCCUAGAUUCGACUCCUAGUUGGGGCA